rnacentral:lncRNA from 1 species
AGGGUCAACUCACCAUCCCUUAGAAAUCCAUUCUCCCAAGAAGAAGGGACAGAAAGAAAGACCACUUUGUAAGGAAGGCUUUGGUAUCCCAUGAACGAGCCAACCGAACACCGAUUGGGGUGCACCAGGACUCCAGAGCCAGAUAUAAGGCUCAGAAAAGGGCACCAACUUGAUGAUACAAGGGGAGGUAACAAUGACAACCACCACGGAGAUUUGGAGCCCAGUUUAGAGACACCUUCACUCCUUCAUUAUUAAAUAGUGGCCUUUCUCAGUAUUUCCUCUCCCCUUUGUAAGUUGCUGAAAUCACAAGCACACUUUUGGGGAUCAUAGAAGGUUGGGGUUCCAGAAAGGCAUCUAUGUGAUGGUUCCAUUCACUAUGGGGAUUUCCCUACUCGCUGUCUUCUCGAUUUCUCUAAUAAAAAGAGCCAAAUGG